rnacentral:rRNA from 1 species
GAUGAACGCUAGGCGGCAGGCUUAACACAUGCAAGUCGAACGGUAACAUAGUGCUUGCACUGAUGACGAGUGGCGGACGGGUGAGUAACGCGUAGGAAUCUACCUGAUAGUUGGGGAUAGCCCAGGGAAACUUGGAUUAAUACCGAAUACGCUCUACGGAGGAAAGGAGGGGAUCUUUUGACCUUUCGCUAUCAGAUGAGCCUGCGUGAGAUUAGCUAGUUGGUGAGGUAAAGGCUCACCAAGGCGACGAUCUCUAGCUGGUCUGAGAGGAUGAUCAGCCACACUGGAACUGAGACACGGUCCAG